CGGAGCAGCCGGUCCCGGGGAUGCUGCCGGGACAGUCCUGUGCGGACAGCGGCUCCGAACAGACCAGCUCCUUCCCUGCUAGGGACACACCGCUCCAGUGCUGGCUCUGCAAUGAAGCUUUUGCUCACACUGUCCAAGGCCUGAAAGGGAUGAAGUUCUUAAU